rnacentral:rRNA from 1 species
GAUGAACGCUGGCGGCGUGCCUAAUACAUGCAAGUCGAGCGAACAGAUGAGGAGCUUGCUCCUCUGACGUUAGCGGCGGACGGGUGAGUAACACGUGGAUAACCUACCUAUAAGACUGGGAUAACUUCGGGAAACCGGAGCUAAUACCGGAUAAUAUAUUGAACCGCAUGGUUCAAUAGUGAAAGACGGUUUUGCUGUCCCUUAUAGAUGGAUCCGCGCCGCAUUAGCUAGUUGGUAAGGUAACGGCUUACCAAGGCAACGAUGCGUAGCCGACCUGAGAGGGUGAUCGGCCACACUGGAACUGUGACACGGUCCAGACUCCUACGGGAGGCAGCAGUAGGGAAUCUUCCGCAAUGGGCGAAAGCCUGACGGAGCAACGCCGCGUGAGUGAUGAAGGUCUUCGGAUCGUAAAACUCUGUUAUUAGGGAAGAACAAAUGUGUAAGUAACUAUGCACGUCUUGACGGUACCUAAUCAGAAAGCCACGGCUAACUACGUG